CUUUCCAAGGGUGGUUUUCAC
rnacentral:miRNA from 1 species